rnacentral:rRNA from 1 species
CUACGUGCCAGCAGCCGCGGUAAUACGUAUGUCACGAGCGUUAUCCGGAUUUAUUGGGCGUAAAGUGCGUCUAGGUGGUUAUGUAAGUCUGAUGUGAAAAUGCAGGGCUCAACUCUGUAUUGCGUUGGAAACUGUAUAACUAGAGUACUGGAGAGGUAAGCGGAACUACAAGUGUAGAGGUGAAAUUCGUAGAUAUUUGUAGGAAUGCCGAUGGGGAAGCCAGCUUACUGGACAGAUACUGACGCUAAAGCGCGAAAGCGUGGGUAGCAAACAGGAUUAGAUACCCUGGUAGUCCACGCCGUAAACGAUGAUUACUAGGUGUUGGGGGUCGAACCUCAGCGCCCAAGCUAACGCGAUAAGUAAUCCGCCUGGGGAGUACGUACGCAAGUAUGAAACUCAAAGGAAUUGACGGGGACCCGCACAAGCGGUGGAGCAUGUGGUUUAAUUCGACGCAACGCGAGGAACCUUACCAGCGUUUGACAUC